rnacentral:rRNA from 1 species
UACAGAGGUGCCAAGCGUUAGUCGGAAUCACUGGGCUUAAAGCGCGCGUAGGCGGAUGUUUAAGUGUCUUGUGAAAUCCCACGGCUCAACCGUGGAACUGCUGGGCAUACUGGACAUCUCGAGGCACUCAGGGGCGAGCGGAACAAGUGGUGGAGCGGUGAAAUGCGUAGAUAUCGGGAGGAACACCAGUGGCGAAGGCGACUUCCUGGCCUGUUCUUGACGCUGAGGCGCGAAAGCUAGGGGAGCAAACGGG